rnacentral:rRNA from 1 species
GAGAUCGGGAUAACACCUGGAAACAAGAUGCUAAUACCGGAUAACAACAGAUGAUGCCUAUCAACUGUUUAAAAGAUGGUUCUGCUAUCACUCUUGGAUGGACCUGCGGUGCAUUAGCUAGUUGGUAGGGUAACAGCCUACCAAGGCGAUGAUGCAUAGCCGAGUUGAGAGACUGAUCGGCCACAUUGGGACUGAGACACGGCCCAAACUCCUACGGGAGGCAGCAGCA